GCCUUUGGAGAUAACAAGGUUGUGAAGUGUCCCACUUCGGGAAGGAAUGCUAACAAUUGAGUUACCGCCUUGUUGCCACUGACCAGAGCAUCAGGUGGUCCAUUACUCAAGAUAACCGUGGCAACCAGAUAUGCUGACCCUCAUCCCCUACCCUCAGGAGAAGGUAUGACAUAGCUCCACCUACAUGCAAGGGGAGCCAGGAAGUGCAAUCCCUGGCUGGGCUGCCACGUCUCAGAAACCAUUAAGCCUAUGGAAGGUCUCUGGAUUUGAUGGCAAAUGGCAGCAGAAAUGUGGAAAAGAUCAAAGUGAUGUCAAGGUUGAUCUCUGAGUUUGGCAUGGCUGAACUCAAACAUCAUUUGCCAUGGACCCACAGUGUCUUCAGUAGCUGAGUGUGGUGUCAUUCCCCUAUGAUAUGUGCACUCAAUUGCUGGCCAGUUUUUGUUUUUUGUUUUUGAGAGAGUCUCGCUUUGUCUCCUAGGCUGGAGUGCAG
rnacentral:lncRNA from 1 species